UACGGAGGGUGCAAGCGUUAUCCGGAUUCACUGGGUUUAAAGGGUGCGUAGGUGGGAAUGUAAGUCAGUGGUGAAAUCUCCGUGCUUAACACGGAACUGCCAUUGAUACUAUGUUUCUUGAAUUAUCUGGAGGUCAGCGGAAUAUGUCAUGUAGCGGUGAAAUGCUUAGAUAUGACAUAGAACACCAAUUGCGAAGGCAGCUGGCUACAGGUGGAUUGACACUGAGGCACGAAAGCGUGGGGGAUCAAACAGG
rnacentral:rRNA from 1 species